AACAAUUUUAUGUUUCAUCUUUUCAUUGUGAAGGAAAGAAAGGACAUUGACAGAGCUGACAGAACGAACAUCAGAUAGUAAAAUUAAAAAAACUCCUCAGCAUGAAGCAAGCAGUCGUUGCAGUUUUUACCAUCUUGGUUUUAAUGGGUGCAAUUGUGCAUAGAGGUGAAUCAUACAUCAGGGCGGGAAGAGAUAUGAUAAACAACAAACAAGGACAGCCAAUAGCAUUUGCAGAAGAUUACUAUAACAAACCAGUUGAGGCUGCCCCCCGUGCUCCAGCUUUGAAGAGAGGGUUUGCCAUGAUACAAAAGAAACGGGAAUACAAAUUGAGGCGUGAAUGAAUCAGCAUCAAAUCUCCAUAGUUGUCUUUAUCGCCUAUAGCUACAGUUUCCUGAGGCAAUUUCUCGUUUUCUUACAUUUCCUCAGUAAUUGCCGUUAAAAUAAAUUCGUGCCAACAUUCCAUGAAUUAUUUCCAAAAUAA